rnacentral:rRNA from 1 species
GACGAACGCUGGCGGCGUGCCUAAUACAUGCAAGCAGAACGCACAGUUUAUACCGUAGCUUGCUACACCAUAGACUGUGAGUUGCGAACGGGUGAGUAACGCGUAGGUAACCUGCCUGGUAGCGGGGGAUAACUAUUGGAAACGAUAGCUAAUACCGCAUAAUAUUAAUUAUUGCAUGAUAAUUAAUUGAAAGGUGCAAUUGCACCACUACCAGAUGGACCUGCGUUGUAUUAGCUAGUAGGUGAGGUAACGGCUCACCUAGGCGACGAUACAUAGCCGACCUGAGAGGGUGAUCGGCCACACUGGGACUGAGACACGGCCCAGACUCCUACGGGAGGCAGCAGUAGGGAAUCUUCGGCAAUAGACGAAAGUCUGACCGAGCAACGCCGCGUGAGUGAAGAAGGUUUUCGGAUCGUAAAGCUCUGUUGUAAGAGAAGAACGGGUGUGAGAGUGGAAAGUUCACACUGUGACGGUAUCUUACCAGAAAGGGACGGCUAACUACGUG